UACGAAGGGGGCUAGCGUUGCUCGGAAUCACUGGGCGUAAAGGGCGCGUAGGCGGGUCUUUAAGUCAGGGGUGAAAUCCUGGAGCUCAACUCCAGAACUGCCUUUGAUACUGAGGAUCUUGAGUUCGGGAGAGGUGAGUGGAAUUCCGAGUGUAGAGGUGAAAUUCGUAGAUAUUCGGAAGAACACCAGUGGCGAAGGCGACUUACUGGACACAUAUUGACGCUGAGGUGCGAAAGCGUGGGGAGCAAACAGG
rnacentral:rRNA from 1 species